rnacentral:lncRNA from 1 species
AUUUGCCAACUAUUUAUAUUAGACAAUCAAUUGACUAAUAUACAUAAUUCUUUCAUCUAUAUAAAACUUUAUAAAUAUACAAAUGCUGUAGAAUAUAUACAUUAAUCAAAAGAUGGAUCUAUAUUUAUAUGCAAUAUAAUAUUUUUAAAAUUUUUAAAUUAGUAGGUUCCAAAGUAUAUAGCAUCAUUACAGAUGGGGAUGGUUGGGAUGCGCAUCCCGGGCAUUCGGACUUGGGGUGUGCC